UACAGAGGUCUCAAGCGUUGUUCGGAUUCAUUGGGCGUAAAGGGUGCGUAGGUGGCGGGGUAAGUCUGGUGUGAAAGCUCCGAGCUCAACUCGGAAAAGCAUUGGAAACUAUUCCGCUAGAGGGUCGGAGGGGAGACUGGAAUUCUCGGUGUAGCAGUGAAAUGCGUAGAUAUCGAGAGGAACACCAGUGGCGAAGGCGAGUCUCGGGACGACUCCUGACACUGAGGCACGAAAGCUAGGGGAGCAAACAGG
rnacentral:rRNA from 1 species